rnacentral:rRNA from 1 species
AGGACAAACGCUGGCGGCGUGCAUAACACAUGCAAGUCGAACGAGCGCAGUGACUUCGGUUGCUGCGCGAGUGGCGGACGGGUGAGUAACACGUGGAUGACCUGCCUCGCGAUGGGGGAUACCGCUCAGAAAUGAGGGUUAAUACCGCGUACGUCGGUCUCUGUAGGUGGAGAUCGGGAAAGCCUUAGGGCGUCGGGAGAGGGGUCCGCGGCCGAUUAGCUAGUUGGAGGGGUAACGGCCCACCAAGGCGACGAUCGGUAGCUGGUCUGAGAGGAUGAUCAGCCACACUGGGAUUGAGAACGGCCCAGACUCCUACGGGGGGCAGCAGUGAGGAAUCUUCGGCAAUGGGGAAACCCUGACCGAGCAACGCCGCGUGCGGGACGAAGGCCUUCGGGUCGUAAACCGCUUUUCGUCGAGGGGCGAGGAACGGACGGUACCGUGGGGAAGAACGCCUCGGCUAACGUACGUGCCAGCAGCCGC